ensembl:lncRNA
UGACAUGGCACUUCCUGUUUGGAGUUUUCUCUGUCCCAAACCAAGGAAGCCACUCUAGGGAGUUGAGAAUACAAUUAAAUGGUAAGUGUGACCCUAUCCUGGGGCAGGCCUUUUCAUUCUUCCUGGCAAACGUCUACAAUUUCUUCUGCUACUGUGGUCACUCCUUCAUGCAUAUUGGUGAGUGCAUGGAUGGUUACAACUGCUCAAUGUCCACACCUGGAAUGAGCUGCCAAUGAGUUUUGUUAGAAUCCUUAGCAACCUGACUACCCUGCUAGGAGCUGGGGAAGCAAAAAUGUCUAUGAAACUAGGGUCUAGUAGAAAGAGCUGCUUCCCAGGUGGCGCUAGUGGUAAAGAACUCGCUGGCCGAUGCAGGAGACGUAAGAGACACGAGUUUGAUCCCUGGGUAGGGAAGAUCUGGAGAAGAGCAUGGCAACCCACUCCAGUGUUCUUCCCUGAAGGGUCCCGUGGACAGAGGAACCUGGCAGGCUACUGUCCAUGAGGUCACAAAGUCGGACAUGACAGAAGCAACUUAUGCAUGCAGAAAGAAAUGGAAACAAGCAAAAUAAAGCAUUAUCAGAUCCAUGAUACAGGGUUUUAAGUUGUAUUUAAUGGGGGCAACAUUAAAUACAACUUAAAGAAAGCUGAGCACUGAAGAACUGAUGCUUUUGAACUGUGGUGUUGGAGAAGACUCUUGAGAGUCGCUUGGAUUGCAAGGAGAUCAAAGCAGUCAGUUCUAAAAGAAAUUAGUCCUGAAUAUUCAUUGGAAGGACUGAUGCUGAAGCUGAAACUCCAAUACUUUGGCCACCUGAUGUGAAGAGCUGACUCAUUAGAAAAGACCCUGAUGCUGGGAAAGACUGAAGGCAAGAGGAGAAGGGGACGACAGAGGAUGAGAUGGUUGGAUGGCAUCACUGACUCGAUGGACAUAAGUUUGAGUAAGCUCCAGGAGUUGGUGAAGGACAGGGAAGCAUGGCAUGCUGUAGUCCAUGGGGUUGCAAAGAGUCAGACACGACUGAGCAGCUGAACUGAACUGAAUGGAACAACAGGGAAAAGUACAUCUACUCCAUCUUCCUGUUAACAGAAGUCAAGAUAUAAAAUAUCAUGAAAUGAAAUAUCUUAUUUUAUAAAAUAGUUGGCUUCAUGUUUUUGGAAUUGUACAGAGAUUUAUUUAUUGCAGGUAUGUUGACUCCCCCACUAGAACUGUUUCUGGCAUAUGGUAGGAACUUAAAAAUAUUCAGUGACUGAAUCUCUACUUCAGUGAGAAAGCUUAAGGACUUAAGUAAUUUCUUCUUCAACUGGUAACUUCUCAAGUAAUUUCUUCUUCAAACACCCAACACAGUUGGGUCGAGUAAAGAGUGUGGUUAAAGAAUCAGUGUAAUUAAAAAUAAUGCUGGUGAGAAAUUUAGUAAGUUUAUUAUACUCAGAAGUUAGACAGUGGAACAUCUCUCUGCACGAUCUGAAUUUGGACUGUCUGAUUCCAAACCCUGAGCUCUCACACUGGGGCACUCAUGAAAGUCAAGGCCCCUUUUGUUCCUUUAGGACAAAGGAUGGGUGAGAGGGAGCCCCCACUUGAGACAAUGACAAAGUGACAACACAACACUUUCCCACUGAAUUAACAGUGUCCUUGCCUUCUUCAGGCAACUGCCCAGUGCUGUCAGCUCCUUCCUUCUGCUCAAUGCCAGGCUUCCUGCCUAGUGUCCUAAUUACUCCUUGAUUCCUGUGCAAAUGGGAUACCACUCCAAUUUCUCUCUUGCAGCUGCAUUUUUUUCAGCCCCCCCCCCCAAAAAAACCCAAAAGCAAUAGUGCUUUCCCAUUUAUCUGCAGUGUUUCCUAAUGCUACUCACCACUUCCCAGAUUUCUCCCUACUCUUGAUUUUCAGGAUCCUUCACUUUCUUGAUUUGCCUCCAUUCCACUGAUUACUUUCUGACUCUUUACUCCCAUCCUCCGACUGGUGCAUUCCUCAAGAUUCCUCCUUUCCUGUCCUUGUCCGUAGUCUCAUUCUCAGCUUAUUGACGUCUGGCAGAUACACUCAUUCAUUCAUUCAGUGUUCGUUUAUCUAGCACCUGCUGUGUACCAGGCAUUGUUCUAUAGCAGGAAACAGGAUAAACAAUGUCAUCAUUCCAGUGGAAGACACAGCAAACAAAAACAGCAACAAAAUCAGUUGGUUUUGGAGCCUUACAGCAUUUCAACAGUAUUAAUCAAUCUUCUAACUUUUCAUGUACAUAAUCUCAAUUAUCUAUUAAUUCCAAAAUUAUUGAAAAUAAGAAUUUUGUUUUUUCAUAAAGCUAAUGCCUCCACCUUAUUUUUAUGCAUGAGGUCUACUUUAAAGUUGUGCUUUCACACAGUUGGUGAUUUUUAAACCUUUUUGUUUGUGUAUUUAGCUGUGUUGGGUCUUCGUUGCCUCACGCUGGAUCUUUGGUUGCAGCGUGUGAGCUCUUAGUUGUAGCAUGUGGAAUCUAGUUCCCUGACCAGGGUUUGAACCCUGGCCCCCGGCGUUGGGAGCAUGGAGUCUUAGCCACUGGACGACCACCAAGGAAAUUGCCAUAGUUGGUGACCUUAAAAGUCUGUUGAUUUAAAAAUACUGCUGAUUAUUAAUUUUUUCUAAGGAGACUUUAUUUGCAAAUAUCUCAAGGCAAUUAAAUGUAUUCUUGAUGUUACACAAUGACUCUGGAACCUGCCCAGCCACAUACCAGCCACACGGUCUGGAACAAGUUACUCAGCCUCUCUGCACCUUCAUUAUUCUUGCCUCCAGGAGCCCCUCAACUUAUGAACCUCAUGUCCAGACCAGGACUCAACUCACGAGUUCAAAGCAGUUCCCAUGAAGGACCAGUGUGUCCUAAGGGGAAGAUCUUUUUUAGUUUUGAAAGUCAGCAAUGGGAGAAGAAUGUGGCUCUGGAACCAGGCAACUUGGUUUUAUGUGCUGGUUCCUCUGCUUCCUAGGGUUUAUCCCUUAGCAAGUUAUCUAACCUCCCGUACCUCAAUUUUUUCAUCCAUAAAAUGGGAUAAUGCUAGUGCCUCCUCUGUAGAAUUUUUAUAUUGAUGAAAUAAUAACUAUGAAAGUACUUAGAACAGUGCCUGGUAUUUAUAAGGGCUACAUUAAUGAGUAUUUGCUAUUUUAAUCUAUUUAUACACAUAGUUCUGUCUCUUUAAGAGAAAACCAGGUCACUGGAUUUUAUCUGUUGGAAUCUUAGACUGCCAUUAAGGUAUGAAACUUGGACUUCUACAUUUUGAACGCUUUAAUGAAUUCAUAUUAUCAAGGAACCUUAAGAGAAGAAAAAAAAAAAUCUCUUUCAACUUUAGAGAAUGAGCUUCUAAAAAUGAAUACUUGGUUUCUUUCCACCUUGAAGUAUAAACAAAACCCCCCAAAUUUUGUUAUAUAAACCAAACAAAAAGCACAUAAAAUCCCUUAAUCCAGAGCUAUAUUUAAGAGAUAGAGCAGACAGCAGAUAAUUCAUAUCCACUACAACCGUUACUGUAACACACAAGAAUUAAAAUGUAUCAACAGCCAGCAGCUGGGCAGAGCACUCCUGGCAUCAUAGUUCACUUCUGCAGCGCUGUGCUGUGCAAUUUAACUGCAGUUACAAACAGAAAAACCCUCACGCCUCCUUUUCCUCAGAUUUGUGGUUUUAAAGCAUGUCUCCCAUGAUUCCUUCCCAUAUUCUUCCCCCUCUAGUCACCUUCCCUUUAUUAUUUGUCCAAGUCAGAGGGAGAAAAUAAUUUUUAGAAAAGCGACAAGCUGUAAAAAACAAUGCCUUUAACAGGAAAACAAUACUGGUGAAAAUCCAAAUCACCCAGAAGUUACACCUACCCUCCUUGCCCAGUCAAACCAAGGGGUGUUGCAUCUGUUAGUACCAUAUGGUGGGUUAUCCGAGAGCCGAACAGAACUUCCGCAGCACAGAGGCCCAUUAGCCAGUCUGCCUUGCAGGCGUGCAUAUGACCCAAGGCUGUCCUGGGGGCUCUGGGCCUGCAGGAGGGUGUUUAAGACAUUGGCCACUUAUCAGACCUGACCCCACGGCCUUUGCAGCUUCUCUGUGAGGGCUUCAGGGAGCUUGCAUCCUGUUCAGUGGGCACAGGGAGAAGGGAUCACGUCCGGAAAUACCUUGCUUGGUAGCUCCAAUGGCCAGUAAGUCAUUUACAGCAGAAUUCCUCCAGAGAUGCCUUUGGAUGGGGAGAUGUGUCCUUCCUUUAAGAGGCGGGGGCUGAGGGGCCUGAGGGAGUCUUGAGAGCCUGGGGCUGAAGUCAUUCCUGACCCAGGGCUCAGCUCCAGCAACACCCGGGCACCUCUGAACCAGCUGUGUUCCACAGGUCCCCGCCUCUGCCCUGGGCCUUGUUUGUGGCAGAGAUCCUCUUAGGGGGCUUUUGGUGAGGACGUGAGCUAUGUUGUCAGGGGUUCAGUGCAAGGCAGAGGAGGGUUUCCUGCGGUUGGCAUCCACUCUUUCAAGACUUCUUUCACUGUACACAGACUGGCUUUACCUUAUGGUGAAAGUGAAAGUGAAGUCGCUCAGUCGUGUCCUACUCUUUGUGACCCCAUGGACUGUAGCCUACCAGGCUCCUCCAUCCAUGGGAUUUUCCAGGCAAGAAUACUGGAGUGGGUUGCCAUUUCCUUCUCCAGGAGAUCUUCCCGACCCAGGGAUUCAACCCGAGUCUCCCGCACUAUAGGCAGAUGCUUUACCAUCUGAGCCACCAGGGAAGUCCUUACCUUAUGGGGAGAGGAAUAACAAAAAUUGCCCGUCUCCACCUCAGCACCAGCAUAACUCCUUUCUCCAUGUUCAAUAAGAUCAUAAGUUUCAUUUCCUUCCACCUCUCCUGCCUCCCCAGUCCUGGCCACGUACUAAGAGCCAGGGGCUUCCCUGGUAGCUCGG